rnacentral:sRNA from 1 species
GAGCAACUACCGGGGCGGAAGCACACAGGUCGGCGUGGACGCCCAUUUUCCAACAUACGCAUCCGCCUUGACCCUUCUAACCGUUAUGAUUUUACCGGCCCAUCACCAAAACCGCACUCCAUAAUAGUUAUCCUAGGUGUGGCGCCUUUUCCAGCCCGCAAAAGGGGCUGGAAAUACUCGGUGCCUUUCUCAAGCGAAAUAAGAUAGAUAUCCGAAUCCCGGAGGGAUCGACAAUCUAAUAUCCAUUACAUAUCAAAAUACCUAUAGAACUCGCCUAAUGCAUGCGGAAAGUUUGAACUCUUACCCGCCAUACUGCACCUCCUCAAUUACCACCUGGGGGACAGUGGUAACCGUUCUUCGGGCAUCACAAUAAUGCCCAUAUGCAUGACAUGCGUAGAAUGACGCUUGCAAGGAGCUUUCCUGGGAGGGAUCCCUUUUCCAACAUCAUCUUCGCUUUAUUAUUAUAUCCUUAAAAAGGGGAAUCCCCUCUUAUUAUGCUGUUUGCUAAUCAUGCCCUUAUGAAAUAAGGAUCAGAGCUUGCAUGGUGAUGCAUUGUUUAUAUAGGGAAACGCUUUCCCGACCAGCCUUUCCUAAAUCCACACCAAAUGGCAUUAGAAAAGAAAAAUCAG